GUGGGAUUUCAGAGAUUUCAGAGAUUUCAAGAUUUCGGGAUUUCAUGAGAUUUUAUGAGAUUUCAAAAGAUUUCAAAAGUAGGUGUACAAGAUUUCACGGAGUGUCGGACCCCUCGUAGAUAGUAUAGUAUGUUUGAAGAUGCCAAGAUCAAGCUUCAAAAACAAGGCUAGAUGAACAUCUCAUAUAGCUAGGUAGGUACUAGCAGUCGAACAGCAACUGGAAUAAAUGCGAGAAGUUUAUUUUCCAGGAGGUGGGCGUGUCCGGAAGCAAAUAGCUGGUGCCAUUGUGUGAGUAGCUGCCUGUAGUUAGAGCUGUGUAGCAUAGACCCAGACCACUGUUAGAAGCUGUUCAAAGCUCAGAAGGCCAUUGAUGACUUUUGUCUCUAUAUUCUCCUUGUCACUGUCACUGGUCUUCGCUGUCUGAGUCCAAUUCAAUUUCCGGCUCUUUCGUUUCAGCAAUCUCUCUGCAAAUGGACCAGAAGUACACCCUGGUCCACAGCCACAGUAAUAAUGGCUGUAUCCCACUGCUGCUAACAUUUAAAAACUCGCUGUUACGUGGCAAAUAACGGUGAGAUUAAUUAACCUGUUGCUCGUUAAUGUUGGAUGUUCAGGAAUAAUUUAUGAGUAACAUUACAGGUUUAUUCCACUUGCUAGGUAUACUAAAUAAGCUGGGUAGGUUAGCUGAGCUUCUCUACAGUGGGGUAAGCAUAUACAGUGGUCUGUUCAGGCAAUUCCUGAUUAAAAAAAUAUUUGACCUGUAAUAAUAGCAUAUUUUUCGUACCGCAGAAUACAAGUACGACUGAUUUGGACGAUGCUUAGAAUGUAUUGAGGAGGACAUCUGUUGGAUGUAAUACACAAAAUGUGGCUUAUUGUGUGCUCACAUCUCUCCAACUAGUACUAUUUUAUACAGCAUUUUCAACGAUGCAUUUCUCGACUCUCAAUGGAUCGACACGAAAAACAAUUACAUAUAAAUGUUCAUCAAUCCUAUAAGAUAGCACUGAACAUGUUCAAAUUCAUCUCAUAUACUUUUGCAACAAUUUGUCUGUUCAGUUUGCUGUGGCAUGUAAAUUUGUCUAAA